AUGCCACAUUCCUUCUCUACCCUCCCCCCUUCCAAAUCCGUCAUUCCGUGGCGGAGGAGGGCGGCGCGUCCUGUCAUUGGCCCUCUCCUCCUGUCACUCUCGCGCUUUGUCCCGCCCACCGCGCCACCCCAUUGGGCGGGUGGAGCCGCCCCUCUGCGGGAGUGGUCAGGCAGGCUGUCCAUCUCCGCCCGUGGCCACGCCUGCUCUCCGUCUCGGCCGCGCGGCAGGCAGGUUAGGUUGCUAUCGUCAGAGGAGGUUUGUGUGAAGUGCCUGCGCCCCCCGGACAAGAUGAGCGAUCAGGAGCCCAACACCGACGACAUCAACGCAGGAAAGUCCGAGAGCCGGGCGGGAGGAGGAGGAGGAGGCGGAUUUGUCCAGAAGGGGCAGGACUCCCAGCCGUCUCCGUUGGCUCUAUUGGCUGCUACAUGUAGUAGAAUUGAGCCUCCUGAAAAUGGAAAUUGUGCGGGCCAACAGCAGGGUGCAACAGAACUGGAUUUGAGCACUGCCCAAAUAGCACAAACAGCCAAUGGCUGGCAGAUAAUAUCUACAUCUUCUGCAUCCAAGGACCAAGCCGGAGGAGAUAACUCUUCAAAGAACCGUCCAAUAGCUCCUGGACAAUUUGUGGUAGCGGCAUCUCCAAACGUGCAAAAUCAGCAGGUGCUGGCCAGUCUUCAGAGCGUAAUGCCUAAUAUUCAGUAUCAAGUUAUACCACAGUUCCAGACUGUGGACGGACAGCAGCUGCAGUUUACCACUGCCCCUCAGGUCAGUGUCCAGCAGGAUGCCUCUGGACAGCUGCAGAUCAUCCCUACUACCAAUCAGCAAAUAAUUACUACCAAUCGGGCUGGUGGGGGAAACAUACUUACCAUGCCCAACCUUCUUCAGCAAGCUGUCCCUAUUCAGGGGAUGGGUCUAGCCAAUAAUGUCCUUUCAGGGCAGACCCAGUACUUGACCAAUGUUCCUGUUGCUCUUAAUGGCAACAUUACCCUUCUCCCUGUGAAUGCAGCUUCGCUGACACCCACAUCUCAGUCGGUCACACUGAGCAGUAGCAAUCAGGAUAACUCUCAGCCUGUUACUUCAUGUGUUAGUUCAUCACAGCUGGUCACCUCUCAGGCCAAUGCCUACUUUACAAAUGCUAAUAGUCUCACCACCAGCACCACUGCUAGCGGUAUGAAUCUCUUGCAUUGUAGCAGUGGAAGCAGCACGCAAGGGACCAAUGUCCAAGUUCAGAGUUCUCAGAGAUCAAGUGGUCAGCUCAGCUUGGUUACUGACUCCAUUCAGCAGACCAGCAGCACCAUGCAACAGGGCCAGCAAAAAGAAGGUGACCAAUCGCAGCAGCAACAACAGCAGCAACAAAUUCUCAUUCAGCCACAGAUUGUUCAAGGUGGACAGACUAUCCAGACUUUACAAGCUGCACAACUUUCUGGCCAAACCUUCAGUGCACAAGCCAUCUCACAAGAUGCCCUUCAAAACCUUCAGUUUCAAACUAUGUCCAACACAGGUCCAAUUAUUAUCCGUACUCCUACAGUGGGUCCCAAUGGGCAAGUUACUUGGCAAACUAUACAAUUGCAAAACCUACAAGUUCAAAACCCUCAACAGACAAUCACUCUUGCACCCAUGCAAGGAGUCUCUCUGGGCCAGUCAGGUAACAACUCCAUGCAAGCUGGCACAGUGACUGUGAAUGCUGCACAACUUUCAUCAAUGCCGGGCCUUCAGACCAUUAACCUAGGUGCCUUAGGAGCCUCUGGAAUACAAGUUCACCAACUUCAAGGGGUUCCUCUGACAAUAACUAAUGCAGCUGGAGAUGGAACUGGCCACCUAAGCAUUCAUGCUACUGGAGCUGAUGGGUUACACGAGGAUCAUUCUGCCAUGGAAGAGGGUGAAACAAGCCCAGAUCCUCAACCACAACCUGGACGGAGAAUGCGCAGGGAGGCUUGUACUUGUCCUUACUGUAAAGACAGCGAGGGAAGGAGUUCAAGUGACCCAGGGAAGAAAAAGCAGCAUAUCUGUCAUAUUCCAGGCUGUGGAAAAGUUUAUGGAAAGACGUCUCACCUGAGAGCUCAUUUACGUUGGCACACAGGAGAAAGACCUUUUGUCUGCACCUGGGUGUUCUGCGGAAAGCGUUUUACCCGGAGUGAUGAGCUACAGAGACACAAACGUACCCACACCGGUGAGAAGAAAUUUGUGUGUCCAGAGUGUCCGAAGCGCUUCAUGAGAAGUGAUCACCUGUCCAAGCACAUAAAGACACAUCAAAACAAGAAGGGGCAGACUGGACCAGUAGCCAUGACGACUGUUUCUAUGGAAACAGGGUCAGAUGGAAGUGCUGCCUCCACCCCCACCCCCCAGACCCUAAUCACCACCAAUAUGGUAGCCAUGGAAGCAAUAUCGCCUGAAGGCAUUGCCCGCCUCGCCAGCAGCGGCAUAAAUGUCAUGCAAGUGGCAGACUUGCAGUCAAUCAACAUCAGUGGCAAUGGCUACUGAGGGGCCUUGUCCAGACAGGACUGUAAAUAAUUGGGAAAAAUUUGUUUUGGUAUUGGAGUUAGGGCUAUAAAAGAAUGAUGGGUCCAAAAGCAUAUAUGUGGAAUAUGUCAAAUGUCUCUGACAUGGAAGUUUGUGCCAACUUAUCUUCCCAACCUCAAUGUGGGGAGACUCAUGCUCUGUAGCAAUUUUCGUUUUAUUUUUUGUUUUUGUUUCCCCCCCCCCCACCAUACAUACAUCCUCAUUGAUUAACAUUAUAUUACAGUUAACUACAGGGCUUCCUGUUUGGAAAGAAGGUAACAAUAUGUGUUUAAAUGGAGUGGAAUUGCUAUAAAGGCUGAUAUCCGCCUUCUGUGUAAGUGAAGGAGUGCCAGGUACACCUAUAGGCUUGAGUGUAAGUACCAGCAGUUAGCCACUGUAAUGCCCCUGACUUAGGGUGAAGGUUGUGAAGAUGUUUGCCAGGACUUAUCUAUUCUUCCUUUUUUAUCAUAAAUAUAUAUAUAUAUAUAUAAUAAAUAUUUCUAUUUUCUUAUAUUUUCAAAAACAGAGGAAAACCUAAGGUACAUGUGUAAACAUUGGACCUUUAGAAUUAUUGUCAAAGCAAUACAUUUUUAACAAGACGCAUAUAUAUAUAUAUAUAGGAUAUUAAAACAUUAAAUAAAAUGCCAAAAAAUUAUAACAAGUGCUUAGACCAAAAUUUACUCUGGUCACUCUGCAUAGCCUUAUCUUGUUAGAACCUUUUGUUUUUUGCUAAUCUGUAAUAUGGAUAGAUUGCAUUCUACAUUAUUGAAUUUUAGGCAUUUUGUGCGAUUAUGUAUACAUUUUCUCUUUACAUCCUUUUCGUCUCUAGCUGUCACAUUCCCAUUGAGCAGGAGAAAUAAUACCGAUCCAUGUGGGUCACAAACUGUUACUGCAGGAUUGUCUGUACCUGGCCUACACUCUAGUGCAGUGGUCCGCAGGUUGAAGACCACUCUAAGUACUCUAAGUAAAUGUCACUCGGGUGCUUUGGCUGUGUUGCUUGCUUGGAAACUUGAAAUCAGAAUCAAUGCAAAACAGUGAAGCCAAACUUGUGUACGUAGUGAUGUAUGAACAAUUUGGAGGCUAAACACACAAUGGAGCUGCUAAAGUGCUGAUUGUUUUGCAUCUUUUAUUUGCUUUCCUGGCAUUGAAUGGUCCAUUUAGAAUGGAAGACAACUUGUGGAGCAGUAAAAUCCCCUGAACAGUAGUGCCCCAGACUAGUGAACUCACAUUUCCACACUCUUAAUGCACAUGCUCUUUAUCGGUUGCAUACAAUAAGGUAAAUGAACUUGUCUUGUCCCCUUUACCCAUUUGUCAGCUGCAGGAUUAUCCUUUCUUUCAGUGUCUCUGAAUAUAUGUAGUGUGAUCUUUGCUUCUGGACAUUGAAUGGCAUGAUGAACAUAAGUGUACGUUUGUGUCCCCCUGCUCAUGUUCUCAUACCUUUGCAAAUGUUAGUGGAGAGGCUUUUUUUUUUUUUUUUUUAAAGAAAUGACUUGUGUAAAUAUGCCUGGCUUUUUUUUUUUUUCUUCCAAAAUUGUAUUUGGUGGGGGCUUCCACCUACAUAUUUUUAUAUAAAUUAUACACAGCCUACACAUAUGGAAUGAAAAUGUAUUUUUAUACAAUAGUUACCUCCACAGGGUAUUUCUGGUCAUCUUAUUCUGCUUGUAAUUAAAAUUUAGCUAGAGGUUUACCGAUCUCAUAAGGUCGUGGUAUAAAGACUAUUCUUGGCAGAUAAGAAAUCAUUGCGUCUCGCUGUAGAAGUGGAGGUUGUUUGAUCUAAGGUUCGAUGAGGUUUGUGUUCGUUAGAUGCAUCAGGAAUGCCUGUUGCAUGUGAUGAAGAUGUUUUUGUGUUUUUUGUUUUUUUUUCACAAUGACUGUGCCUUAAUGUGUCAUUAUGUGGCUAGACCAUAAAUGAUAACUUUAUAAGGAAUACGAUCAGUUAGUUACAAGCUAUGCAUUUUUGUCAGCCGUUGUCACUCAUAUAUACAUCACACUCAAUGAUUUUUUUUUUUAACUUCUUGAAGAGUGCCCCCCACAUUAUUGUCAUGUCUUAUGCAUUGUACCUGUCUUUCAGCAGUGAAACCUAUGUAAUUGCUAAUAGUUUUAUUUUAAUUCUGUGACUUGACCUCUAUAUUACGAUUUGUUGUAAAUAAAUAACUGUUUUCUAUUUGAAGAGGCUCCAAGUUUGUUUCAACUUUACCAUGCAGUUAGCUGAGGAAAAACGAAUGAACUUUCCUUGGUCUCCAGGUUAUACAUUUUCAAGAGCAGGUUUAUCUUUGCACCUAUCCCCUUUUUUUUAGUUUCAUUUGGCCCUUGCACCACGUCCGUAAAUGUUUUCUUUGCUCGUCCCGUAAAAUGAUUUUUAGAAGUAAUUUCAAUUUUGUAAUGUUAAGUCGUGCCUAGCUAAAUGUCUAUUUCUUAAGACCUAUCAGUAAAUUUUAUGAAGAGGCGUGGCUACAAAAAACCUGUCACUUGUCCAAAAUGUAAUAAUACAAAGUUUUUUUUUCUACAGGAAAAAAAAUAGGGCAAAGGAGCCAUGUUCUAAAAUGAAAAGCUAGUAAGUGGAUUGUAAGUUUGCAUGUCGUAGACAAUUCUGUAGGUAGAUGGCAGGUGCCAUUUGUCAUAAAUAGCUCGUACACCAUAAGAUUAUGAAUUGGGAAGCAACAUGUUAAACAAAUUAAAUAUGCUAAUGAGUUUAGUAAGUUGUAGGUGACUGUAUAGCUGUUUUGAUACUUAUGUAUUAUGUUUUAUGCUGUUUGUAGACAUUACUAGAACGACUUGCUUAAAGUUGCUUGGACACUUGAAAAUUUGCGGCAGCAUCAAUAUAGUAAUUGUAGUCCAGAAUUUUGGAUCUGUCAAAUUGUCCAAAAGAUAAGAGCUACAUGGUGAAAGACAAGUCUACAAAAGUGUCGACAGUAAUGUCUGCAUGUAGCAUGAUUUCCAUGGACAAAAUCAGGACUCCACUUAAGUCAGAUUUACUACUUUGGUGUUAUUGAGUAGCCAUGACUUUCCGUUACAAUGAUGUGCUGGUGUAUUGAAUUCUGUGUCAAAGAAUGGGCUCACCAUUCGAAGAGGGUGGAAUCGACCUUUAAAUUUAUGUCCUGUCUGAGUGGAUGCAAUGGUAGGAGUAUUCUAUAUGUAAGCGUUGGUUAACCUUGGCAUCUAUUAAUGAGAUAAGCUGAUGACUGGGAUUGUAGAUAGUGUUGGCUUCCUGUAUUUUAGUACGUAACAUAAUGUCACUUCUGACCUGGCCAAAGUUUCUUCCUCCGCUUACAUUUAUUUUGUGGGGCAGUAUUCUUCAAGCCAUUAACGUUUCUAAAACCUCUGGGAAUGUAUAAACCGUGCCUAAAACUCUUUAACACUGGCAAUAACUAAAGCUAGAAGAUAAUUGAACUAUAUGUAAUGUAUGAUUAUAAUUUUCUUUUUUUUUUUUAUCCUGGUGUAAUAUGGGAAGCAUUUUAAAACCAUUCUUUUGUAUAAAGGUGACAAUUUACUGUAGUUUAUAACUCAUUUGUAAACUUAAUUACGUUUCUGUUUUUAAUAAAGUCUCUUAAGAGCUCUA